rnacentral:ncRNA from 1 species
GAGCAAAUAGGUUUGGUCCUGGCCUUUCUAUUAGUUCUUAGCAAGAUUACACAUGCAAGCAUCCCCGCCCCAGUGAAGACACCCGAUAAAUCACUACGAUCAUAUGGAGUAAGUAUCAAGCACGCACAAUGCAGCUCAAGACACUUUGCUCAGCCACACCCCCACGGGAGACAGCAGUGACAAACCUUUAGCAGUAAAUGAAAGUUUAAGCUAUGCUACAAUCUAGGGUUGGUCAAUUUCGUGCCAGCCACCGCGGCCAUACGAUUAACCCACGCUAAUAAAAACCAGCGUAAAGGGUGUUUUAGAUCUAGUCAAAUAAAGCUAAACUCCAUCUAAAUUGUAAAACCUUAGCUGAUGUAAAAUAAACUACGAAAGUGGCUUUAAAAUUUCUGAACACACAAUAGCUAAGACUCAAACUGGGAUUAGAGACCCCACUAUGCUUAGCCCUAAACUUCAAUAGUUAGAACAACAAAACUACUUGCCAGAAUACUACAAGCAACAGCUUAAAACUCAAAGAACUUGGCGGUGCUUCACAUCCCCCUAGAGGAGCCUGUUCCGUAAUCAAUAAACCCCGAUCCACCCCACCAUCUCUUGCUUAGCCUGUAUACCACCAUCUUCAGCAAACCCUAACAAGGUCGCAAAGUCAGCAUAACUGUCCCCACAAAAACGUUAGGUCAAGGUGUAGCCCAUGAGAUGGUAAAAAAUGGGCUACAUUUUCUACCCCAGAAAACCCUACGAUAACUCUUAUGAAACCUAAGAGUCCAAGGAGGAUUUAGCAGUAAAUUAAGAAUAAAGUGCUUGAUUGAACCAGGCCAUAAAGCACGUACACACCGCCCGUCACUCUCCUCAAGUAUAUUUAAGGACUAACUUAACUAAACACCCCAACAUUUAUAUAGAGGAGAUAAGUCGUAACACGGUAAGUGUACUGGAAGGUGCACUUGGAUAAAUCAAAGC